rnacentral:rRNA from 1 species
GACGAACGCUGGCGGCGUGCUUAACACAUGCAAGUCGAACGGAAAGGCCCUGCUUUUGUGGGGUGCUCGAGUGGCGAACGGGUGAGUAACACGUGAGUAACCUGCCCUUGACCUUGGGAUAACUUCAGGAAACUGGGGCUAAUACCGGAUAGGAGCUCCUGCUGCAUGGCGGGUGCUGGAAAGUUUCGGCGGUUGGGGAUGGACUCGCGGCUUAUCAGCUUGUUGGUGGGGUAGUGGCUUACCAAGGCGUUGACGGGUAGCCGGCCUGGGAGGGUGACCGGCCACAUUGGGACUGGGGUGCGGGCCAGAGUGCUACGGGUGGCAGGAGUGGGGAAUAUUGCGCGAUGGGCGGAGGCCUGGUGCAGCGACGCCGCGUGGGGGAUGACGGCCGUCGGGGUGGAAAGCGCGUGCGCCUGUGACGAAGCGUGAGUGACGGUAAUGGGUAAAGAAGCGACGGCUAACUACGUG